rnacentral:lncRNA from 1 species
AAACCGUAAUUGUUUGUGGCCCCAUAACUCGUAGGGCCGGCCCUGGCUACGAGUGGAGUUUGAUUCCCAAUGUUAGAUCUUGAUAAAGAUGGACUUGAGUCGGCUAACUUACACAAGACCUGAAAAAUAUAAAGGAUUUGGGCUUCUUUACAUCUUUCGAACAUGGGUUAAAUGAGAGUCAUUGGGCAACAACUGGCGGAGAGUCCCAUCCAUCCAAACCUUAGAGUAGUUGUUGCUGGGGAAAAAAUAUUAGGGUCGCUGCCGCUCGGCAAAACGGAGGUGAUGGUCAGCAAUGAAGCACAUAGGAGAGCCAUAUGUCAGAUUUGAGACUUGCCGUGAGUUAUCGACGUCCCCACCUGAAGAGGCGCAUCUGAUGGUUCAAGAGAAACUCUUGUCAUCAACGAAAACCGGUGAGGCGACGAAUCAAUUCCUAAUUAAAAACAAACUCUCGUUUUAAAAGUUAGUGACUUAAAAGUUAGUGCUCUAUAUGAACAAUAACCUACAAAAAAAAUGGAUAUUCCUUUGUUUACUUUUAAAAAGUAGAUUAUGUACAUCCUUGUUUAAUUU